AUCGAACGCUGGCGGCAGGCCUAACACAUGCAAGUCGAGCGGAGCGGCGGACGGGUGAGGAAUACCUAGGAAUCUGCAUGGUAGUGGGGGAUAACGUUCGGCAACGGACGCUAAUACCGCAUACUAUCAGAUGAGCCUAGGUCGGAUUAGCUAGUUGGUGAGGUAAUGGCGCACCAAGGCUACGAUCCGUAACUGGUCUGAGAGGAUGAUCAGUCACACUGGAACUGAGACACGGUCCAGACUCCUACGUGAGGCACCAGUGGGUAAUAUUGGACAAUGGGCGAAAGCCUGAUCCAGCCAUGCCGCGUGUGUGAAGAAUGUCUUCGGAUUGUAAAGCCCGUUAAGUUGGGAGGCGUUACCGACAGAGUAAGCACCGGCUAACUCUGUGCCAGCAGCCGCGGUAAUUC
rnacentral:rRNA from 1 species